UACGUAGGUGGCAAGCGUUAUCCGGAAUUAUUGGGCGUAAAGAGCGCGCAGGUGGUUGAUUAAGUCUGAUGUGAAAGCCCACGGCUUAACCGUGGAGGGUCAUUGGAAACUGGUCGACUUGAGUGCAGAAGAGGGAAGUGGAAUUCCAUGUGUAGCGGUGAUAUGCGUAGAGAUAUGGAGGAACACCAGUGGCGAAGGCGGCUUCCUGGUCUGUAACUGACACUGAGGCGCGAAAGCGUGGGGAGGCAAACAGGAUUAGA
rnacentral:rRNA from 1 species